UACGUAGGCAGCAAGCGUUGUUCGGAAUUACUGGGCGUAAAGAGUGUGUAGGCGGUGUUCUAAGUCUGGUGUUAAAUCUCCCGGCUCAACUGGGAGGGUGCGCCGGAAACUGGAAUGCUCGAGUAUGGGAGAGGUAAGCGGAAUUCCUGGUGUAGCGGUGAAAUGCGUAGAUAUCAGGAGGAACACCUGUGGUGUAGACAGCUUACUGGACCAUCACUGACGCUGAGACACGAAAGCGUGGGUAGCAAACAGG
rnacentral:rRNA from 1 species